CAGGGCCGGGGCGGGCUAGAGCCCGGUCGGAGGGGAGCGCGCGGGGGCCAGAGGGGCGAAGGCGCGAGUGCGCGAGUGCGCGUGCGCGAGCGGCGGGGCUUUCUCCCGAGCCGUCGGAGGGAGCCGGAGCGCUUCUCCGGAGUUGGUGAUCCACUGGUCGUGGUCCAACAUGCAGAAGUGAGCGAGUGGCGAACAGCAGAGCCGAUGGGUCGCGAGGAUGUAAGCGCGUUUGGAGGCUUCCACACCCUCUACUCCAGGACAGAAUCAUGAAUAAACUGGAGGAUAAGCAGGACCAGAUGAUACCAUGAAGAGAAGUUUACAGGCCCUCUAUUGCCAACUGUUAAAGAUUGUGCUCUGGGAAACAGUUCCCAGUGGAGUCAUGGACCUCAUCAGUCCAGCUGUUGAACCAGUGAUCUCCGGACAUUUCUGGAACCCACCAGGCUUCCUCCUGACCUUGGCACUGACCGAAGCACUGGUACUUGCUGUCCAGGAACCAUCUCCCAGGGCAUCUCUCCAGGUCCUCCCCUCAGGCAGUCCCCCAGGCACCAUGGUGACAGCAUCCGACAGCCCUACAAGACCCUCCUCCACGGCUCUGAACCCCCAUCCCGAUGGACCCUCCUCACAGGCCGCAGCUACCACGGCAACGACAGCCCAUCCAGAUGGGCACCCUCCUACAAACACUGUUCCCACCAUCGUGGUGACAGCAACCACCCCCCAUCCCGAAAGGCCCCUGCAGCUCACAGGUUCCCCUUCAGUUCCUAUGGCAACCACACCCUCGCAUUCAGAGGGCCGCCCCCCAGGGGAGGCCGCCCCCACCAUCCUGCUGACAAAGCCAACAGGAGUCACCAGCCGGCCCACCGCCGCGGUCCCCCGGGCUACCACCCGCAGGCACCCCAGGCCCCCCGGCUCUUCCCGAAAGGGGGCUGGGGGUUCAUCGCGCCCUGUCCCACCUGCCCCCGGUGGCGGCUACUCUGGGAGGAGAGAAGGCCACCGAGGACGCAAUCAGAGCUCCACGCACCUGGGGCCAAAGCGACCCCUGGGGAAGAUAUUCCAGAUCUACAAGGGCAACUUCACAGGGUCUGUGGACCCCGAACCCUUGGCCCUUUCCCCCAGGACCCCACCCUGGGGGAACGCCUCUUCGCCACAGCCCCAGACAGUGGCUGUGACCACAGCAUCCGGAAGUACCUCGUGGGCACCCCCCACUACCCCUGCGGUGCCUGCAGAGGACAAGCCAGGCCUUAGCAGAGCAGACCAGGGGGGUGUCCCCACCUUCACCAGCCCAGGAGGGGAGCCGGUCGCCACCGCCACCUCAGGUGCCCCUGCCCGUCCACAACCUGCCCCAGUGCCUUCUCAACGCCCCCGAGGUGACGCGCAGGACAGCCCCAGCCACAGUGACUCUUGGCUUACCGUCACCCCUGGCACCAACAGACCUCCGUCUGGCAGCUCUGGGGUCUUCCCAGCUGCCCCGGGGUCCACCCAGGCUGCCUUUGAUGCCAGUGGCUCAGCCCCUUCCCAGGGGAUUCCUCAGGGAGCAUCCACAACCCCACAGGCCCCAGCCCGUCCCCCCGGGGCCUCAGAAAACACUGUUUCUCCAGCCGAGGAGGAGGCUGCGGCCUCCCCCACCGUGACCGACAGGGUGCCCAGUCCUCUCUCCACCGUGGUGUCCACAGCCACAGGAAACUUCCUCAACCGCCUGGUCCCCGCCGGGACCUGGAAGCCCGGAACAGCAGGGAACAUCUCCCACGUGGCUGAAGGAGACAAACCCCAGCACAGAACCACCAUCUGCCUGAGCAAGAUGGACAUCGUCUGGGUGAUCCUGGCCAUCAGCGUACCCAUCUCCUCCUGCUCCGUCUUGCUGACUGUGUGCUGCAUGAGGAGGAAGAAGAAGACAGCCAACCCCGAGAACAACCUGAGCUACUGGAACAACGCCAUCACCAUGGACUACUUUAACAGGCACGCCGUGGAGCUGCCCAGGGAGAUUCAGUCCCUGGAGACCUCCGAGGACCAGCUCUCAGAGCCCCGGUCCCCAGCCAACGGCGACUAUCGAGACACGGGGAUGGUCCUCGUGAACCCCUUCUGUCAAGAGACACUGUUCGUGGGAAACGAUCAAGUGUCCGAGAUCUAGCUGCAGCAGCCUUCACUCUGCCGUUCCCUAUUUUUCAUCUCUAAAUGAUAAAUAUACAAAUAUAUAUAUAUUAUAAAUAUAACCUUUGUGUAACCCUGACUUAAUGAGAAACAUUUUCAGCUUUUUUUCCUAAGAAUUGUCAACAUCUUUUUUAUAAGUGUGGUUUAAAAAUCAGAAAAAAAAAAAAAACUUUACAGAAUGACCCGUGGCUUUAUAAAAUAAAGGUAUUUCUAAGCAAAGCAGUGGCAUCAGUUGCUUCUCUUGAUAACUGUCUCUGAGCCCUCGGGGAGUCGCAGGAGCCCGGGCAGGUGAGGGAAGAGACCGACCUCCUGGACAAGCAGAAUGCUAAAGUGGUCAAGGGCAUCGUCUGUUGCCCGAUUCCUAAAGCUCUGGUUCCUUAGAUUCGAGACCCGUCUCCUCCCUCCUCAUGUGCACAUGCGUGAAGGGGACUGGGCCACCCAGGAGGAGCACGAGGUACAGCAUACUCAAACCAAAGCAGGAAAAGCGAAAAUGUCUUCACCCUGGAGGACAGGAACCCUGGGGACUCUCGGUGACACCACUGGAUGUCAAGUUCAAUGCCACCCAUGUCAUAGGCGGAGGCAGGAGCCGACCACACUCAGGAGAUCCGAGGAGGACAUGGAAGCAUCCUAAGGCGCCUGCCCUGUGAUCACCCCGUGGGUGCUCCCGCCAGGCCAACCACAGGACCUCCCGUCCCUGGAAGCCCCACAUCUGCAUCCCACAAUGUCGCCUCUUCUCUCAGGGAGGGUGUAGGCACAGGUCCCAACCCUGGAGCUUUAGAACCCUCGCCCUUCCUUAAGGAUCAGAUGUUCAUUGGGGUUUUCUCCAAAAGUGAUGAUGGUGUUGUGUCCCAAGGAACAGGUCUAAGGGCUUGCCACUUUUGAAACCUUCCUCCUGCACUCCUAAAGCAAACCAGAUUGCCAAAGCCAGCCACUUGGGAGAAGCCAGAAGCUGGUUCCGUCCACCCGCAGAGGUACUGCAGACCCUCUUGCCCCUUGGGCCCAAGGAUCUGCUAUGGGCUCUUCUUUUGCCCUCCUUUCUCUCUCCUGCUCCCUGCAUCCCGCCAGGCUGCCUCCGGACUCCCACGGUGCCCAGAGACCAGCACCAGUGAGGCUCAGACUCUCAGCCACACAAGAGGGGCUUCCAGAGGUGGCCGCUCCUCUGAUAUUUUCCUAAGAGUGGCUAGAAGAGAAGAGAACUGCUUUGACGCUUCCUUUCUCUAAAAAAGAAAAAUAGUUUGAUAGUCUAUUUUGAAUAUAGAUGUUCUUAUAGGCAGAUUGGGAAUUGAAAUUGAAUGUCGGUUCAUCCGUUUGUGUUGUUACUUACUGUGGUCUUCUUACCAUGACUUUCUCCUUCCCACCCACGUUGCCCUUUUUCAAAAAAAGCAAGAUGGCCUUCGAAAAUGUGUGUUCUCGAUGUCUGUAUGAACCUCCUCGACCCGAGUUGUGUGGUCUCUCAGCCCCCAAAGGAGCAGGUUAAAUGUUGCCCUGAGAUUUGUUUUUUCUGUUACUGUCUAUGUUGUUCUCUGACCUUAACCUUCUCAUGUUUCUUUAGCUAUUGCAUUGACUAUAUCAACGUGUGUGAGUACAUAGAGUGAGAAAUCUGUUUGUAAAGUAAAAUUUAUAUAUAAUAUAUGUAAUCAAGGAUACAUAUGUUAUAUAUACAUUUGUGGAUGUAUGACUUAUUUUUCCGUACCCACAGAAUUCCGCUACCAUGGAUAUAUAAAUAAACUUAUUUUAUUACCCAAAGGAUUAAGUCACUAAUAUAUUUUGCCUUCUUUUUCAUCGGAAAAUAACUUUCAAGUCUCGCUUAUACGUGUCCAUCUGUGUUUUUUAA
ensembl:lincRNA